CCUACGGGUGGCACCAGUGGGGAAUAUUGGACAAUGGGGGCAACCCUGAUCCAGCAAUGCCGCGUGUGUGGAGAAGGCCUGAGGGUUGUAAAGCACUUUCAGUGGGGAGGAGGAUAAUUUGGUUAAGAGCUGAGUUAUUGGACGUUACCCACAGAAGAAGCACCGGCUAACUCCGUGCCAGCAGCCGCGGUAAUACGGAGGGUGCGAGCGUUAAUCGGAAUUACUGGGCGUAAAGCGUGCGAAGGUGGUUGAAUAAGUUAUCUGUGAAAUUCCUGGGCUUAACCUGGGGUGGUCAGAUGAUACUGUUUAACUCGAGUAUAGGAGAGGGUAGUGGAAUUUCCGGUGUAGCGGUGAAAUGCGUAGAGAUCGGAAGGAACACCAGUGGCGAAGGCGGCUACCUGGCCUAAUACUGACACUGAGGCACGAAAGCGUGGGGAGCAAACAGGAUUAGAUACCCCGGUAGUC
rnacentral:rRNA from 1 species